rnacentral:pre_miRNA from 1 species
AACGGUGAGGUGCGAUGCAACGGCAAGCGAGACCGUCGCUUUGCACCUCAACGUUAGC